CAUGGCUCAGGACGAACGCUGGCUGUGUGCUUAAUACAUGCAAGUCGAGCGAAGUUUUUCUGGUGCUUGCACUAGAAAAACGUAGCGGCGAACUGGUGAGUAACACGUAAAGAACCUGCCUUAUAGACUGGGACAACUAUUGGAAACGAUAGCUAAUACCGGAUAACAGCAUUAAAUGCAUGGUUGAUGUUUGAAAGUUGGUUUUGCUAACACUAUGAGAUGGCUUUGCGGUGCAUUAGCUAGUUGGUGGGGUAAAGGCCUACCAAGGCGACGAUGCAUAGCCGACCUGUGAGGAUGAUCGGCCACACUGGGACUGAGACACGGCCCAGACUCCUACGG
rnacentral:rRNA from 1 species